rnacentral:rRNA from 1 species
CUGCCCAAGAGUCCAUAUCGACGGCAGUGUUUGGCACCUCGAUGUCGGCUCAUCUCAUCCUGGGGCUGUAGCAGGUCCCAAGGGUCCGGCUGUUCGCCGGUUAAAGAGGUACGCGAGCUGGGUUCAGAACGUCGUGAGACAGUUCGGUCCCUAUCUGCCGUGGGCGUUUGAAGUUUGAGAGGAGUUGACCUUAGUACGAGAGGACCGGGUUGAACAUAUCUCUGGUGUUCCAGUUGUCACGCCAGUGGCAUCGCUGGGUAGCUAAAUAUGGACGGGAUAACCGCUGAAAGCAUCUAAGCGGGAAGCCCACCUCAAGAUGAGACUUCACAGGGAUUUAAUCCCUCUAAAGAGCCCAUGUAGACCACAUGGUUGAUAGGUGCGGUGUGUAAGGGUGGUAACACCUUCAGCUAACGCAUACUAAUUGCUCGUGCGGCUUAACCAU